rnacentral:rRNA from 1 species
UACACUCCUGCGGGAGGCAGCAGUGGGGAAUAUUGCACAAUGGGCGCAAGCCUGAUGCAGCCAUGCCGCGUGUAUGAAGAAGGCCUUCGGGUUGUAAAGUACUUUCAGCGGGGAGGAAGGCGAUAAGGUUAAUAACCUUGUCGAUUGACGUUACCCGCAGAAGAAGCACCGGCUAACUCCGUGCCAGCAGCCGCGGUAAUACGGAGGGUGCAAGCGUUAAUCGGAAUUACUGGGCGUAAAGCGCACGCAGGCGGUCUGUCAAGUCGGAUGUGAAAUCCCCGGGCUCAACCUGGGAACUGCAUUCGAAACUGGCAGGCUAGAGUCUUGUAGAGGGGGGUAGAAUUCCAGGUGUAGCGGUGAAAUGCGUAGAGAUCUGGAGGAAUACCGGUGGCGAAGGCGGCCCCCUGGACAAAGACUGACGCUCAGGUGCGAAAGCGUGGGGAGCAAACAGGAUUAGAUACCCUAGUAGUCCCAUG